UAAUCCUACGGGGCGCAGCAGUGGGGAAUAUUGGGCAAUGGGCGCAAGCCUGACCCAGCAAUGCCGCGUGAAGGAAGAAGGCUUUCGGGUUGUAAACUUCUUUGACAGGGGAAGAGCAGAAGACGGUACCCUGAAAACAAGCCACGGCUAACUACGUGCCAGCAGCCGCGGUAAUACGUAGGUGGCAAGCGUUGUCCGGAUUUACUGGGUGUAAAGGGAGCGUAGACGGUCCUGCAAGCCAGAUGUGAAAGCCCGGGGCUCAACCCCGGUAC
rnacentral:rRNA from 1 species